GGGUGGUUAGCAAAGCGGCUAUGCAGUGGACUUUUAAUCCGCACUAGAGAGGUUCGACUCCUCUAUCACCCACUA
rnacentral:tRNA from 1 species